UGUUUCUAACUAAUGAAUGAUCAGGUCUAAAAAUAGCUCGAUCAACCCAACCAUUAUCAGAUAGUACAACAGAGUCAUCAUACGAUGAAUAAUAAUUCUAUCAUUCAGAGAGAACACCAAAUGGAUGAUGCUUACAAUAUCAAUCAGAAAUAAUGAACCCAUUAUCAUUCAACUUAAUAGGAGGCUAUGAUUUAGUUAUCCCCAUAACUAGCUUAUUUUAUGGACCUAAUAAUUUAGAAGAUAUAAGAAUCAGUUUAGAGAAG
rnacentral:lncRNA from 1 species